rnacentral:rRNA from 1 species
AUUGAACGCUGGCGGCAGGCCUAACACAUGCAAGUCGAACGGUAACAGGAAGAAGCUUGCUUCUUUGCUGACGAGUGGCGGACGGGUGAGUAAUGUCUGGGAAACUGCCUGAUGGAGGGGGAUAACUACUGGAAACGGUAGCUAAUACCGCAUAACGUCGCAAGACCAAAGAGGGGGACCUUCGGGCCUCUUGCCAUCGGAUGUGCCCAGAUGGGAUUAGCUAGUAGGUGGGGUAAAGGCUCACCUAGGCGACGAUCCCUAGCUGGUCUGAGAGGAUGACCAGCCACACUGGAACUGAGACACGGUCCAGACUCCUACGGGAGGCAGCAGUGGGGAAUAUUGCACAAUGGGCGCAAGCCUGAUGCAGCCAUGCCGCGUGUAUGAAGAAGGCCUUCGGGUUGUAAAGUACUUUCAGCGGGGAGGAAGGGAGUAAAGUUAAUACCUUUGCUCAUUGACGUUACCCGCAGAAGAAGCACCGGCUAACUCCGUGCCAGCAGCCGCGGUAAUACGGAGGGUGCAAGCGUUAAUCGGAAUUACUGGGCGUAAAGCGCACGCAGGCGGUUUGUUAAGUCAGAUGUGAAAUCCCCGGGCUCAACCUGGGAACUGCAUCUGAUACUGGCAAGCUUGAGUCUCGUAGAGGGGGGUAGAAUUCCAGGUGUAGCGGUGAAAUGCGUAGAGAUCUGGAGGAAUACCGGUGGCGAAGGCGGCCCCCUGGACGAAGACUGACGCUCAGGUGCGAAAGCGUGGGGGAGCAAACAGGAUUAGAUACCCUGGUAGUCCACGCCGUAAACGAUGUCGACUUGGAGGUUGUGCCCUUGAGGCGUGGCUUCCGGAGCUAACGCGUUAAGUCGACCGCCUGGGGAGUACGGCCGCAAGGUUAAAACUCAAAUGAACUGACGGGGGCCCGCACAAGCGGUGGAGCAUGUGGUUUAAUUCGAUGCAACGCGAAGAACCUUACCUGGUCUUGACAUCCACAGAACUUUCCAGAGAUGGAUUGGUGCCUUCGGGAACUGUGAGACAGGUGCUGCAUGGCUGUCGUCAGCUCGUGUUGUGAAAUGUUGGGUUAAGUCCCGCAACGAGCGCAACCCUUAUCCUUUGUUGCCAGCGGUCCGGCCGGGAACUCAAAGGAGACUGCCAGUGAUAAACUGGAGGAAGGUGGGGAUGACGUCAAGUCAUCAUGGCCCUUACGACCAGGGCUACACACGUGCUACAAUGGCGCAUACAAAGAGAAGCGACCUCGCGAGAGCAAGCGGACCUCAUAAAGUGCGUCGUAGUCCGGAUUGGAGUCUGCAACUCGACUCCAUGAAGUCGGAAUCGCUAGUAAUCGUGGAUCAGAAUGCCACGGUGAAUACGUUCCCGGGCCUUGUACACACCGCCCGUCACACCAUGGGAGUGGGUUGCAAAAGAAGUAGGUAGCUUAACUUUCGGGAGGGCGCUUACCACUUUGUGAUUCAUGACUGGGGUGAAGUC